rnacentral:rRNA from 1 species
AUUGAACGCUGGCGGCAUGCCUUACACAUGCAAGUCGAACGGUAACGCGCCUUCGGGUGCCGGCGAGCGGUGGAGGGGUGAGUAAUAAAUCGGAGGGUGUCCGAUCGUGGGGGUUAAGGUAGCGCAUGGUUUGCUAAUACCGCAUACGAUCUAAGGUUGUAAGCAGGGGGGGGCAAGGGUGUGAGUGGGCGGUUCGGCCGAUGGUCGAUUAGGUAGGUGGUGGGAUAAAAGCUUACCAAGCCGACGAUUUGUAGGUGGACUGUGCGGAGGAUAGGCCACACUGGGACUGAGACACGGCCAGACUCCUACGGGAAGCAGCAGGGGGGUAUUUUGGACAAUGGGCGCAAACCUUGUCCAACCAUGCCACGGGCAGUGUGGAAGCCUUCGGGUUGGAAACAGCUUUUGUACGGAACAAAAAGCCUUCGUUUAAUACAAGGGGGUCAUGACGGUACCGUAAGAAGAAGCACCGGCUAACUACGUG